rnacentral:rRNA from 1 species
UGCGCAGGCGGGAAAUUAAGUCAGUGGUGAAAUCCUGCAGCUUAACUGUAGAAUUGCCAUUGAAACUGAUUUUCUUGAGUACAGUUGGGGUGGGCGGAAUGUGUAAUGUAGCGGUGAAAUGCUUAGAUAUUACACAGAACACCGAUUGCGUAGGCAGCUCACUAAACUGUUACUGACGCUCAGGCACGAAAGCGUGGGGAGCGAACAGGAUUAGAUACCCUGGUAGUCC